ACGGUCGAAAGUAGUUUAUGAAUUAGCUACCAAUAAUACAUACCUCAAAUUUUUAACUCUUGAGAAUAUGUGUCAUCAUCUUGUUAAUUCAUUGGAUGAUUCGUGGACACAUAUACUACAUGAAUGGUAAUUAACUAUCCCAAAUAAUUAAGUCAAAUACGAAAUUAUAUCCUAAAAAGAAUUAAUGUGUCAGCUCGAUUGGCUUCUAAGGUA
rnacentral:lncRNA from 1 species